UACGUUCCCGGGCCUUGUACACACCGCCCGUCAAGCCAUGGAAGCUGGGGGUGCCUGAAGUCGGUGACCGCAGGGAGCUGCCUAGGGUAAAACUAGUAACUAGGGCU
rnacentral:rRNA from 1 species